UGUUCCCUACGGGAGGCAGCAGUGGGGAAUAUUGCACAAUGGGGGGAACCCUGAUGCAGCGACGCCGCGUGAGGGAAUGAAGGUCUUCGGAUUGUAAACCCCUGUCAUGUGGGAGCAAAUUAAAAAGAUAGUACCACAAGAGGAAGAGACGGCUAACUCUGUGCCAGCAGCCGCGGUAAUACAGAGGUCUCAAGCGUUGUUCGGAAUCACUGGGCGUAAAGCGUGCGUAGGCUGUUUCGUAAGUCGUGUGUGAAAGGCGCGGGCUCAACCCGCGGACGGCACAUGAUACGGCGAGACUAGAGUAA
rnacentral:rRNA from 1 species